rnacentral:rRNA from 1 species
GACGAACGCUGGCGGCGUGCUUAACACAUGCAAGUCGAACGAAGUGGCGAACGGGUGAGUAACGCGUAAUCAACCUGCCCUUCAGAGGGGUACAACAGUUGGAAACGACUGCUAAUACCGCAUACUGAAGGAGGGGAUUGCGUCUGAUUAGCGAGUUGGAGGGGUAACGGCCCACCAAGGCGAUGAUCAGUAGUGGGUCUGAGAGGAUGAACGGCCACAUUGGGACUGAUACACGGCCCAGACUCCCACGGGAGGCAGCGGGGGGGAAUCUUCCGCGAUGGAGGAAAGUCUGACGGAGCAACGCCGCGUGAGGGAGGACGGCCGUCGGGUUGUAAAGCGCUGUUAAUCGGGACGCGGUACCGGAAUAGAAAGCCACGGCUAACUACGUGCCAGCCGCCGCGGUAAUAC